rnacentral:rRNA from 1 species
AGUGAACGCUGGCGGUAGGCCUAACACAUGCAAGUCGAACGGCAGCACAGUAAGAGCUUGCUCUUACGGGUGGCGAGUGGCGGACGGGUGAGGAAUACAUCGGAAUCUACUUUUUCGUGGGGGAUAACGUAGGGAAACUUACGCUAAUACCGCAUACGACCUACGGGUGAAAGCAGUGGAUCUUCGGACCUUGCGCGAUUGAAUGAGCCGAUGUCGGAUUAGCUAGUUGGCGGGGUAAAGGCCCACCAAGGCGACGAUCCGUAGCUGGUCUGAGAGGAUGAUCAGCCACACUGGAACUGAGACACGGUCCAGACUCCUACGGGAGGCAGCAGUGGGGAAUAUUGGACAAUGGGCGCAAGCCUGAUCCAGCCAUACCGCGUGGGUGAAGAAGGCCUUCGGGUUGUAAAGCACUUUUGUUGGGAAAGAAAAGCAGAAGGUUAAUACCCCGCUGUUCUGACGGUACCCAAAGAAUAAGCACCGGCUAACUUCGUG